UACGCGAGCCCCAAGUGUUAUCCGGAAUCAUUGGGCGUAAAGGGUGCGUAGGCGGUCUUGUUAGUCUCCUGUUAAAGCCCUCGGCUCAACCGAGGAAUCGCAGGAGAAACGGCAAGACUAGAGGGUGUGAGAGGUGUACGGAACUCAUGGUGUAGGGGUGAAAUCCGUUGAUAUCAUGGGGAACACCAAAAGCGAAGGCAGUACACUGGCACAUUCCUGACGCUGAGGCACGAAAGCCAGGGUAGCGAACGGG
rnacentral:misc_RNA from 1 species